rnacentral:rRNA from 1 species
CUUCUGAAACGAUAAUGGCCAAUGCGUGUGUUUUAUGAGAUUAGCAAAAGGUAGUCUGAUGUUUUAGUUUUUUUUUUUUCAAGCAGAAGACGGCAUACGAGAUAGGAGUCCGUCUCGUGGGCUCGGAGAUGUGUAUAAGAGACAGGGGGAGUACGUUCGCAAGAAUGAAACUCAAAGGAAUUGACGGGGACCCGCACAAGCGGUGGAGCAUGUGGUUUAAUUCGAAGCAACGCGAAGAACCUUACCAAGUCUUGACAUCCCGGUGACAGAACAUGUAAUGUGUUUUCCCUUCGGGGCACCGGAGACAGGUGGUGCAUGGUUGUCGUCAGCUCGUGUCGUGAGAUGUUGGGUUAAGUCCCGCAACGAGCGCAACCCUUAUCCCCAGUAGCCAGCAUUUCGGAUGGGCACUCUGUGGAGACUGCCAGGGACAACCUGGAGGAAGGUGGGGAUGACGUCAAAUCAUCAUGCCCCUUAUGACUUGGGCUACACACGUGCUACAAUGGCGUAAACAAAGGGAAGCGAGACCGCGAGGUGGAGCAAAUCCCAAAAAUAACGUCCCAGUUCGGAUUGUAGUCUGCAACUCGACUACAUGAAGCUGGAAUCGCUAGUAAUCGCAGAUCAGAAUGCUGCGGUGAAUACGUUCCCGGGUCUUGUACACACCGCCCGUCACACCAUGGGAGUCGGAAAUGCCCGAAGCCGGUGGCCUAACCGCAAGGAAGGAGCCGUCGAAGGCAGGUCUGAUAACUGGGGUGAAGUCGUAACAAGGUAGCCGUAUCGGAAGGUGCGGCUG